UACGUAGGGUGCGAGCGUUGUCCGGAAUUAUUGGGCGUAAAGAGCUCGUAGGCGGUGUGUCACGUCGGCCGUGAAAACCCGCGGCUUAACCGUGGGCUUGCAGCCGAUACGGGCAGGCUAGAGUUCGGUAGGGGAGACUGGAAUUCCUGGUGUAGCGGUGAAAUGCGCAGAUAUCAGGAGGAACACCGGUGGCGAAGGCGGGUCUCUGGGCCGAUACUGACGCUGAGGAGCGAAAGCGUGGGGAGCGAACAGG
rnacentral:rRNA from 1 species